GAUGAACGCUGGCGGCGUGCCUAAUACAUGCAAGUCGAGCGAACAGACGAGGAGCUUGCUCCUCUGACGUUAGCGGCGGACGGGUGAGUAACACGUGGAUAACCUACCUAUAAGACUGGGAUAACUUCGGGAAACGGGAGCAAAUACGGGAUAAUAAAUUGAACCGCAGGGUUCAAUAAUGAAAGACGGUUUUGCUUGAACUUAUAGAUGAUCCGCCGCCGCAUUGGCUAGUUGGUAAGGAAACGGUUUACCAAGGCAAGGAGGCGUAGCCAACCUGGGAGGGGGAUCGGCCACGCGGGACUGGACACACGGUCCGGACCCCACGGGAGGCCAGGAGUAGGAAUUCUUCCGGAAGGGGCGAAGCCUUGACGAGGCACGCCCGCGUGAGGGAGGAAGGCCUUGGGUUGGUAAACCGCUUUUAUUGGGGAAAAACAAUUGGGUAGGUACCAAGCCACGUCUGACGGGACCUGAAGAAGAAGCCCCGGCUAACUACGUG
rnacentral:rRNA from 1 species